rnacentral:rRNA from 1 species
AUGAACGCUGGCGGCGUGCCUCAUACAUGCAAGUCGAGCGAACGGACGAGAAGCUUGCUUCUCUGAUGUUAGCGGCGGACGGGUGAGUAACACGUGGAUAACCUACCUAUAAGACUGGGAUAACUUCGGGAGACCGGAGCUAAUACCGGAUAAUAUUUUGAACCGCAUGGUUCAAAAGUGAAAGACGGUCUUGCUGUCACUUAUAGAUGGAUCCGCGCUGCAUUAGCUAGUUGGUAAGGUAACGGCUUACCAAGGCAACGAUGCAUAGCCGACCUGAGAGGGUGAUCGGCCACACUGGAACUGAGACACGGUCCAGACUCCUACGGGAGGCAGCAGUAGGGAAUCUUCCGCAAUGGGCGAAAGCCUGACGGAGCAACGCCGCGUGAGUGAUGAAGGUCUUCGGAUCGUAAAACUCUGUUAUUAGGGAAGAACAUAUGUGUAAGUAACUGUGCACAUCUUGACGGUACCUAAUCAGAAAGCCACGGCUAACUACGUG